rnacentral:lncRNA from 13 species
AUGUGGAUUUCCUCUCUGUCCUGGUGGUGUUCGGUGCCUAACUGGAACCAUGUGCCUCGGUGUUUGAAGAAAAGGAGCAGAGAGGAUGAUGCUGCAUUUUUAACACACCACACAGCAUGCAAGGGAUUUCCUCGCAACACCUUUCUUGCUGUGAUUCCACAGACCAGCCCGCUGCAGCUGAGGGCUGCGGAGACCCCAUCUAUCCCUGAGUCUCACUCUUGUUGCCCAGGCUGGACUGCAUUGGCACGAGCUCGGCUUGCUGCAAACUCCACCUCCCGGGUCCAAGUGAUUUUCCCACCUCAGUCUCCUGAGCAGCUGGAAUUACAGGAUAAUGUCAACCCCAGACCCAUAGCCUAGUCUCACCCCUCCUGAGGCACUGAUAUCAAGAAAGCAAAGAAGACUGGCUCAGUGAUUUCCUCAAUCUUAUGCUAGAGAAAUUUGACAAAGGUAGAGAGCUGAUCCGUCUCAGUAAUAAGAGCCUCCUAUCACCUUUGAGGAAAUGGGCCUUCAGAAUAAUCUUUUCUAUUUUGCCUGUCCCCUUUGUGAAAUUACUAUCUUCUUGGGUUCUGACAGCACAUCAGACUUAGGGUAUCCUUCCAUAGACAUGGCUGCUGGAUGAUUGUAAACACUGUAAUUGACUUAUUUCAGGCUGGGACCUUCUACAACCCUUCCAAAAAUGUCACCAGAUCACUUCAAACCGUCCUUCUGAUUGCCUGCUUGUUGCUUUUCUGGGCUGACCCCUCAGGUGUCAAUAAUGAAACAUGUUCAUGAUUCCAACCACGGCUGGGAGCUCUUUCAAAUCUAAAACAGGCAGCCCCAUUCACUUGGUUAUACCUAGGUUGAGGGUUACUCUGGGGAGAAGAGUAGCCCAUAUUUUAUAUGGAGAAGUACAAUCAGGGAUCCAAAUCCCUGACUUCUAAACUAAUUCUGUGAACAUUUUUUUUUUUUUUAAGAUAAGUACUAUCUCUGGAAGUGUGUUUUCCAACUUCUCACAUUUUUCAAAUUUGUAAAAUUUUCUCAUUACACAAAUAAAAGGAAUCAUCAUACUUCCA